AGUCCACGGCGGCCCCAGAUUCUGCAGGGCUCCCCGGUGCGGAUCUCUGCCGUCUCGCUCGUUUCCUUCUUUUUGUCCUUGGUCACCGUGGUGGAGUUAAAUGGCAAGCUGAGGCAUCCGAAACGCACCUCCCUAGCACACCCUCCCUGGACCGUCUAGACACCACUUCCCACCGAGAAGGAAAGGGCAGUUGGGGUGGCUGUCGCUACGAGCGCCAUCUUUCACGUGGGCGGAACUCGUCUCUGCAGGACGCGCCGCGGUUCCCUCGUGGGACUCCGUUAACCACGAAACUGGACAGUUCUUCACUUCUUGGUGACUCGGUGUCUACAAUGCUAGCUUACUGCGGUGGCUUAAAGGAGGGAAUAGAGAGGCCAGUGUGAACCUUAGGAAAAUGAAUGAAGCUAGAAAAGAUCAUCCUGAGUGAGACAGGCAUCUAAGCAUAACUGUCAUCUGAGAGACUUCACGAGCACCUGAUGGAAAUAGAUGCAGAAACCUACAGCCAAACAUUAUGUGGAGCUUGGGCAACUCCACGGAAGAUGGGAGGAGAAUUAAAGGAGCCAGAGAGGUCAAGGACACCACAAGAAAACCUACAGAGUCAACUAACCUGGGUCCACAGGGACCCAGAAAGACUGAACCACCAGAGAACAUGCAUG
ensembl:processed_transcript Gm12367 predicted gene 12367